rnacentral:rRNA from 1 species
CCCCAAUGGACGAAAGUCUGAGGGAGCGACGCCGCGUGAAUGAAGAAGCCCUUCGGGGUGUAAAAUUCUUUCUUUAGGAAAAAUUCGUGAUGGUACUAAAGGAAUAAGGGGCCGCCAAACUCGUGCCAGCAGCGGCGGUAAUACGAGUGCCCCGAGCGUUAUCCGGAAUUACUGGGCGUAAAGCGCUAAAAAGGCGGUUUGAUAAGUCAGACGUCAAAUCUCCGAGCUCAACUCGGAGCCGGUGUCUGAAACUGUCUAACUUGAGGACGGAAGAGGCAAGCGGAAUGGCUGGUGUAGCAGUAAAAUGCGUUAAUAUCAGCUAGAACACAAUGGCGAAGGCAACUUGCU